ensembl:lncRNA
GGCGUGUCAAAGUGCUUGUUUAACUGCUGUCCUGGGCAUCUGUAAUGGUGUGCACUUCUGCUUAACCUUUCAGCUUUGUUUUCAAAGUUUGACAAUGAGAAGAAAUGCUUGCAAAUGCUUUGUCUGACGUUCUGUCUCCAGCUGCCGAGAGGAUGAGCAGCAGAGACUUCCAUCAUCUCAGGUGGGAAACCCUGAAACUGUCCUGGGCCGUGCCCUUCUGUCAUCCCUUCUGGGGCUUAGAAUCUGACUGUAUCAUGGUGUCUGUUGAACUGUGACUAAUGGCUGCAUCACAGAGCUGGUUCACCAGGUCGCCUCGACUGUAGCUGCCUCCAAAGAAAAACCCUGUUGUGGAAUGUGCAAGCUGGUGUUUAAUACAUGAGCCCUUCGCAGCAGGUUGAGCAAUCAGAAGCGCUGCCGCUUCCCUGCAUGCCCUGGGAACUGCGGACUGUUCAGGUGCUGUGGGGCUACAAGGACAAUCUGAUCUGCUUCAGCUUCUUCUAUGCUCUUUGCUGGGUCACUUCUUAGGAAGAAGGUAUUUCCUUUCUGCUCUGCUAUGUGUCUGUGUAUCAGUUAGGAGGCUGAGAACAGCUGAGCAUCAGCGAUCUCCUUGUGCUGUGUUCCAUCCUGCGGCUCGUCGCUCCAUCUCUGAGAUCCAUAGGCUUCAUUUCAGCUCUUUGGCAAUGCUUCUUCUAACCUUGCUGCAAGAAGUCCUUGUGGCCAAUGCAUCCUCCCUAACGAGGCUGACGGGCUGCUGGCGAAAGGUGCCAGAGGAUGGAAGCUGGGGAGCCAUCCCGCCAUGCUGAGGGCUUCUGUCCUGCGGUGCAGGCUGCUGGGAUCUGCCUUCCAUUGUGCUACUGAAACAUCAUCAAAGCCAGGAAAUGAGAGUGCCAUUCCAGUGAAAACCUUUGCAGUGCUGCAGCAGAGAGCCUUAAAUUCAAAGCAGUACUUUAAAAAUCAAAACUAGAAGGCGCUGCAUUAGGCCAGUGAAUGAUUCCAGCUUACACUGCCCACACAUUUGGGAAGGAUGCUUCAUCACUUCACUGCUACAUUUGUCACCUGACACCUGAGGACAGGUCACUGGAUCACAGUUCCUUACUGCCCUGCAGCUGGGGAAGGAGUUUGCAGCCCUUCUGCUGAGAAGACAGGGCUGGAUCUGCAGCCAUUAAAAGGAGCAGAAGAAGAUUUCCUCGAAUUCCUGCAUUGCUGUGAGCUGACACAAGGGCACGGCGCUCCACGCAGCAACCACCAGAUGUGCAGUGCAGGAAAUGAAGACGGACAUUGACUAACAUUUGUUCAAGGCCAUCUAUGUAAAACAUAUCCGAAAGGUCUUUGCGAAGCAAAGCUUUGCAUGGCCCCAAAAAGGAAUUCAAAAAACAAGUUGGAUAAACAAGAAGAACUUUCUGUCUGCUCGGAAACAUGUAGGCUAAUGUCCUUGAGCGAGUGCCAGGCCUCCGGGGGUUACGUCCAGGGAACGUGAGUCAAGCCUCGCCAGGCUCUGUCACCUGCAGCUUUGUGUGCAAUGCUAUUCCUUCAGAUAUUUCAGGAAGAGGUGAUUUUCUCUGCACUGUUGUCAUGGGUUGCGAUUGGGUUUGGUGGAGCCUUGCAGCGUCCUGACCGAACGUUCAGUGCCAGUCCAUAAGAACAUCCUGCUUCACUUUCAUGUCCAAAGCUACUGCGAUGCUUUGCCAACUCUGAGCACAGCAUUAAAAUAAAAGAGAGACUUGAUCCACUUGACAUUCAUGGAUAAGUAUUUUUUUUUUCCCUUCUUUAUUUUCCCAUUAGAAGUGUUCAACAGAAGCUGUAGAUGCUCGGUAUCAUCCAGGCUGUUGCCUGAGGGUGGAACAAUGAAGAUUCUUUUGGAAAGUGGCUAAAAUGUGGGGCCGUGAGCAUUAGGCCAUUUGGCACUUGUGUGAUCUUCCCUGCUCACAGCCACGAGGAUCAGUCACCAGAGGCUGAAAUCUUUGCUGCCAACUUUCAGCCCAGGAAAGGUGUUAGAGAUUGAAUUGCACUGUGAUCCUUGGGAAAAGAGGGCAUAUCUUUGUCAUUUUGUGUUACUGACAUUUCUAGGGAUUUUGACAGAAGGAAGAUAGCAGGAAUGUACAACUCCUGUCAGUGAGCAUCCCGAAAUAUUUCUGAGUAAAUGAUGACAGAUGCUUCAAGCCAGAGAUGCUGUUAGACACUGAGAAAUAGUGAUUUUCUUUUACUCUCAGCUGAAACUCUGAUUAUUUUAUUUUCCCAAGCAAAAGGUCAAUAUGACAUGCAUGUCAUAUAAUCAUACCGCAACUCUUAUAUUUCAUUCUUGCCAUUGUUUUUUGUGUGUAAGUGGAGAUAAAACAGCUAAAUGCAUUGAAAAAAAAACAGUUGAUCACUAGGCAGGAGACAGGCAGUGCUAAAAAAAAGUUUCCCUGGUUCAAGUAGUAUUUCUUACUUAAAAACAAGUUUUAUUUGGCUUGUGUGCAGAGCUCUGUCUUCAUAAACCUUUAAUCUCAGAGCUGUCAAACCUCCUUUGACCCAGAGUUUACAGUAAAUAGAAAAAAAAAAUGACAAAGAUGCUCUUCUGUAGAAAAGUGAGCUCAGGGAAUGUAGUUCAAGGUAAAAAUCUUCUAGUGUUGUUUCAGCAGCAUUAAUGGAAAUUGAUUCAAGGGAGACUUUUCAGGAUCAUUCCUGAAUCUCUAAAGCCAAAGCAUUGAGAAAAUGAUAAAAUACCUUGAAUUUCUGAUCUUCCAGGGGAGUCCUGAGUGGCCUCUGCAGCGGGUGAGAGGAGAAGGCAGACGGCAUGGAGCUGUGCUGGAGACAUGGCAGCAUGCAGGUCAUUACACAGAUGAAUUUCAUCCAAGACUGCUGCUCACUGGGACACCUGAGACAACAGGCCACACAGAGCCAAAGGGCAGUUGUAAACUGAAAUAGGCAGAGUUGCAAACCGGUCUCUCCUUCCUGAUUGCAGUUGAGUGGUAGAAGCCUGAAGAACUCCUGCUGCCCAGGCUGCCAGGAUUUCUCAGAAAGACACCCACAUGAUCACCGUGGUGCUCGCAGAAGCCUUUGUUGGGAAGAAGCUCACCCAGCCUGGCAAAGGGAGCAGGAGGGAGAGAAGCCCAUGUGAGAAAGCAAGUGGGGGCCCAACCUCUAUGGGCUUUGUCCCUGGAGAGCCUGAAAGGACACACUGCUUCAGAUCUGCUUCCCAAGGAUGGUGUGCAGGACUUCCAGAGGAACAUUUGGAGCUCCCCAUGGACCAUUUUGCCCAACCAGCAAAAGCUUACUGAAGAAGAUAAGGGAGAAUUUCCUUUUGUUUCCCUCUGCUAGCUCAUAGCUUUGACCCUCCUGUCCCUAUUCACUGCUGGAUUUUGUUUCAUAGCAUAGGUGCCCUGGGGGACAACGGUGCGCAGUUUGCACAGCGGACGUGCAGGACUCAGUGCAGCCCAACUUCCCACCCAUUUACCCACUCCUUCAGGGCAGUUUCAUUGCCUGCACCAAGCACCCAGGAGCACAGCUGGCUGAUGCCACUGCCAGCAUCCAGGCAGACUCUUGUGAUCCCAGCCACGGCCAGCAGACUGCACGUAGAUUGAUUUCACUCUCAGUUUUGCAGCUCGGGCCAACUGGGAAUGUAAACCGCACUGACCAAGCAGAGUUGGGGAAGCUGCCAGCAAAUGCAGAAAAAAGGAAAGGAAGGAAGAUGUGGAAAGCAUGAGGUUGGAGUGGUGGCUAACAUGCGUGAGGGUCACAGUGCUGAAGAGGAUCAGUGGAGGACACUGUGGGGGGGGGCCUGUCUCAGAAACCAGGAGUCUGAUGUUGGAGAAGUGCAGUGAGUUGAGGAAUGGUGCUUCUGCUCUUCCCAGACACACCUAUAGAUUUAAAGGUCAGAUUUGGUGAUCACAUGAUUUACCUGCUCUUCAUUGAAGCUGAUGGCCAGCAUGGCCAGGACAGCCCAUGGAGCUACCUCCCUGCAAGCUGGGAGUGCUUGGUGGCCAUGUCCUAUCAGCAGAAGUGAAGAAAUUGUUCUGGAGUCAGCAUGGGGCUUUCUGCAAAAUGCACAUUGUAAUCCCCUGACUUUCAGGUUUGCACAAACAGGACCACCUUGCACCUGGUUUUGUAUAGCCCAAAUGCUGCUCAUGCUGCUCAUUGAUUCAAGUGAACUUUGCUUUAAAAAAAGAUGGUGGUUUAUAACCUUAGUGCAGUGCCAGCACCUCUGCAACUUGUUCUUUGCAUACCAUCAAGCUGUGCAGUGCGGUGCAGGUGGCAGGGUGGGGACAGCCCUUGCUGCAUCCCUUUUGUUGUGUUGCCUGUACAGUGCCGUCCUGGCACUUAGCAGGUUCUCCUUUUCCUUCUCCUUUCCUUUACCUCGCCUCCCCUCUCCCUCUUCCCUUUCCUUUCCUUCUUCCCUUUCCCUCCCCUUUCCCUCCCCUCCCCUUUCCCUCCCCUCCCCUUUCCCUCCCUUUUCCCUUCCCUCCCUUUUCCCUCCCCUCCCCUUCCCUUCCCUUCCCUUCCCUUCCCUUCCCUUCCCUUCCC